ACUGAACGCUGGCGGCAUGCCUUACACAUGCAAGUCGAACGAUGAAGCCGGAGCUUGCUCUGGUGAAUUAGUGGCGAACGGGUGAGUAACACGUGAGUAACCUGCCCUUGACUCUGGGAUAACUGCGGGAAACUGUAGCUGAUACCGGAUACGACCCUCGGAGGCAUCUCCUGGGGGUGGAAAGAAUUUCGGUCAAGGAUGGACUCGCGGCCUAUCAGCUAGUUGGUGAGGUAAAGGCUCACCAAGGCGACGACGGGUAGCCGGCCUGAGAGGGUGACCGGCCACACUGGGACUGAGACACGGCCCAGACUCCUACUGGAGGCAGCAGUGGGGAAUAUUGCACAAUGGGCGCAAGCCUGAUGCAGCAACGCCGCGUGAGGGAUGACGGCCUUCGGGUUGUAAACCUCUUUUAGCAGGGAAGAAGCGAAAGUGACGGUACCUGCAGAAAAAGCACCGGCUAACUACGUGCCAGCAGCCGCGGUAA
rnacentral:rRNA from 1 species